AUCCUUUUCUCGACCUUUUGGCUAAGAUCAAGAGUAGUAUCUGUUUCUAUCAGUUUAAUAUCUGAUACGUCCCCACUGCGUUCGCGCAACCCCUAUCAAUUUCAGAUUAUGAAAAGUAAUUGGUAACCAUUU
rnacentral:snRNA from 1 species